UACGAAGGGGGCUAGCGUUGCUCGGAAUUACUGGGCGUAAAGCGCACGUAGGCGGCUUUCUAAGUCGGGGGUGAAAUCCUGGAGCUCAACUCCAGAACUGCCUUCGAUACUGGAGCUUGAGUCCGGGAGAGGUGAGUGGAACUGCGAGUGUAGAGGUGAAAUUCGUAGAUAUUCGCAAGAACACCAGUGGCGAAGGCGGCUCACUGGCCCGGUACUGACGCUGAGGUGCGAAAGCGUGGGGAGCAAACGGG
rnacentral:rRNA from 1 species